CCCCCUGUGGCGGAAUGGUAGACGCGAGCGACUCAAACUCGCUUGUCGCAAGACGUGUCGGUUCGAGUCCGACCGGGGGGACCA
rnacentral:tRNA from 1 species